UGUCGUCUGUGAAUCGUCUGAAUUCUGUCGUCCGCGUAGCACUGCUGUUUAAGAAAAUCCCCUCCCCAAACUCCCGACACGACCCGCGCUGCUCCCCUGCUCUCCGCGUGUCCUCCUCCGCCGCCGCAGCUUCCUCCUCCGCCGCUCACACCUGCCUCGCGCAGCCCCCCUAGCCCCCUUGCCUACCUCCCAAAUCUCCCCUCUUUCACCACAAAAUCGGUUCUUCUCCUCCCGUCGUGCCUCCUGCUCGCGCGCGGCGACGGUACGUCCUCCUCGUCGCUCUCGUCGCCCCCGUCGCCGGAGGAGGUGCGGGGCAGGCAGAAGUGGCUCGCGUUGUGCCUGCGCUACCUCGGGUGCAAGUGGGCCGCCGUGUCGCGGGCCUACGCGCCGGUCGCCGCCUCGGCCGUUCGCCCAUCCGCGGAGGCCUGCGUAUUGGUAAGUCCUUCCUCUCCCACUGAUGCGCCGUUGAGGUACAAACUGAAUCUCUGCUUAAGCCACCAUAGUGGUUUUAAAACUGAAUCUGGAGUAUGUCCAGCAGCACUUGCUCGUCUCCAUCUGACAAAAAGCAAAAAACUGCCUUCAGUUUGGUAGGAUGAUUACACUAUCUCCCUUGUUUUUAUCUAAACAACAUUUGGUUGAGCAUUUGGCCGUGCUGCUGCUCACACUCAAGCUCAGCAUAAAGAGAGAUGUAGAAAUAGGCCGACCAGACAGAUUGAGAAAAUUCAGAAUACAUUAUAGCAUCUCAAGACACAUGCCCACCUUUUGUUUUGGUCAGAUGACCAGAUUGUGCCAAACUGUGCCCAACCACAAAGACAAAAGGCACUAGCACCACAUAGUUGCAUUGACCAAAUAGACUUGUUUCAUGAGUGCUUAAUUUGCAUUGACCAAAUAUACUGUAAUUGCAGAAAUUUUAGGAAUAUUGCUUGUCCAAUCUGUGUGUAGAAAUUUUAGGACUAUGUGAAUAAAACGAUCAACAUCAAAGAAAUUUUAGGAAUAUGGCUUGUCCAAUCUGUCCAAUCUAUGUGCAGAAAUUUUAGGAACAUGAUAAUAUUCUAGUACAUCAAACUGAUUUUUUUGUGAAGUUUUAAACAAAAUGAUUACUAGUGCACCUAGGAAUCUUGUAAGCUGAAUAUUUAGUGUAGAAUCUUGUAAACUGAAUAUAGUGUAGAAUCUUGAAAACUGAAUUGAUGUACAUGAAAACUGAACUUAUUGCUGUAAUUUAGUUACCAGUUUGGGAAUACAAUACUGAUCUAUUCUGAGAGAUUAAAAGUAGAUGGCCAUUCCUUAAAGAAUGUGGUGCUGCUAUGUGUGUUAGAGUGACAACUCUGUAAUUGUAUGACACUGAAUGUUUUGGUCAAAACUGAAUGUUGAUUGCUUGCAUCAUCUACUCUGAAUGACACUGAAUGUUUUGGUCAAAAUUGAAUGUUGAUUGCUUGCAUCAUCUACUCUGAAUGAUUUAAUACUGACAACUUCAGCAUCUAUAGACCUAGCUAAUUCAAAUAAUUCCAACUUAUGUUUGAGCUUGGGCUUGGGAGCUUCUUUAGCAAGAUCACUGAAUGCAGUGUACUCCACUGGAGCUUCUUUAACCUAUAUUGAGCUUGAGCUUGGGAGUAUAUUUUUAUAUUUGCUCACAAUGGUGUACUGAAAAUUGCAAGUUAUGUAGUGUACUGUAAAUUCAGACUAGAUUUGAGCAAGAUAAACUUUACUGUUAUGAUUGAUAAAGAAAACUUUAGUGUUAUUUAAAUUCACAUCAAGUAAAGGAAAAUUUAGUAAAAUUUGUCACUGUCAAAACUGAAAACUGAAACAUGCAGGAUGUGGUGUUAAUGUAGUGUGAUGCAUUUCUUUACCAAUGAUCCUGAUGCCGUCGUGUGGACAUGUGGUAGCACUGAAUAAUGAAUUUGUUUUAACACUGAAUUUGUGGACAUGUGGAUACUGAAUUUGUGUGGACAUGUGGUAGCAUUUUCUUUAUCAAUCAUUGGUUCAUGUAAGUACUAUAGACCUUCUAUAUAUAGUCUGAAUAUAUUGAAGCAUUUCUUUAUCAAUCAUUAUCUUCUCCAAUCUUUUUUGAAUAAAAUACUCCUAGCCACAGUCCCUUGGAUAACUAUGUUCUUCCUCCCUCAGUCCCUUAUUUUUUUUCAGAUUCUUCUAUGCUCAUAUAAAUAGCUCUCCGCACUGAAAUUGAUUAAUUUUUGCUUGUUUCCAUAAUAAAUUGAUUAUUCGUGCACUGAAAAUUGAUUGAUUGUUUUCAGAAAAUUUAGAUAUGUUUAUCUGUUGUUAGAAGAACCUUUGACUAGUUACAAGACAUAUUCUUGAUCUGUUAUUUUUUUCAUAACAGGUGCCCUAGGCUCUGUUGAUUUACAAGGUCAUGUUGGUUUCUUCAGUGGGGAGAGGCGAGAAGAAUUGUUGCAUCUGGAAAUGGAGGUCAACACCAUCUACAGGACAAUGAAGCAAAUAAUCUACUGCAAUUUGAUCUACUGUAAAUUACCGAAUCAAUUGACAGCUACUCCUAGUUGCAUAAACCUGGCUGGUGCUUGCACUAUUUACUGAAAAUAAAUCAUUAUUUACUGAAGAUAAACCUGGUUGGUGCUCGCACUAUUUACUAAAAAUAAACCAUUAUUUACUGAAGAUAAACCUGGUUCAGUAUUACAGACAGCAACAGUAACAGUUAAUUGAACUUCUUUUCUUUGUAACAUUUCUUCAGAGGACAUGAUCAAUUGUGCUUCAAAUUACAAAGCAAGCAAGAUUCGUCACUGGAGAUUAAAAAUCAAGGAGCCCUGUACUUCUUCUCACCGACAACAGCACGAGCAGGGGACCUCCGGGCGGCAACACACGAGCAGGGGACCUCCGGGCGGCAACACGAGCAGGGCACCAACAACAACUUGCAGAGGAGCAGCAGAAGGAGCUCGAGCUUGAUGUCCAGGACGAGCUUGAGGGAGCUCGAGGUCCAGGACGAGCUUGAGGGAGCUCGAGGUCCAGGCGUGGCGGGAACCCGCGGUUGAGGCGCGUGCAGGUCCUGGGCGGCGACGGCGCAUAUCCUGGGUGGUGGGAGGGGAUAUCGGACACGCAGGCCUGGCGACGGCGGCCCAGGUCCUGGGUGGCAGAGGAGCAUGUCCUGGGCGACGGCGAAGCAAGCAAUUCGGUGGCGCAGAUCCUGGGCGACGGAGCAGCACGUACUGGAGCAAGCAAUUGGGCGAAGCAGGACCUGGGCGUUGGAGGAGUGUCAGGCCUGCUCUAUUGUUGACACUAGAAAUGCAACAGUAGCGAUUCAGUUUGCCCAGCCCAACGUCAGCCGUCGAUCUACCAUCCAAGGGACGCGGAAGAGUGGUACCGCUUCGCGGCCCAGAUCGUCGUCACAGCCGUUGAUCUGAAAACGGACGGUUGCUACCGUUUCACUUACUUUUUGAAAGUUACCGCAUGUUGUCCUUUUACUGCUCAUGUCGCUGUCGCUCCUUUUUACCUCGCUAAAACCCUUUUAAGCUCGCCUCCGGAUUGUGGAGAGGGCAUCUUGACUUGUAUCUGGGCUUGGCCCUCGAGCCGCCGUGUUCCGGCUGGCCACAAACCCUAGAACUCCAGCUUGAGUGAAUGAAAAUUGAUCCCCAAAAUUGCCCCACAAUUGAGUGAUU
rnacentral:lncRNA from 1 species